rnacentral:rRNA from 1 species
UACGUAGGGGGCAAGCGUUGUCCGGAAUCAUUGGGCGUAAAGAGCGUGUAGGCGGUCCGGUAAGUCCGCUGUAAAAGUCAAGGGCUCAACCCUUGAAAGCCGGUGGAUACUGCCGGGCUAGAGUCCGGAAGAGGCGAGUGGAACUCCUGGUGUAGCGGUGAAAUGCGCAGAUAUCAGGAAGAACACCUACGGCGAAGGCAGCUCGCUGGGACGGUACUGACGCUGAGGCACGAAGGCCAGGGAGCAAACGGG